rnacentral:rRNA from 1 species
GACGAGCCUCACAAACGUUAUUCGGAAUUACUGGGCGUAAAGGGUGCGUAGGCGGGUCUUUAAGUCAGGGGUGAAAUCCUGGAGCUCAACUCCAGAACUGCCUUUGAUACUGAAGAUCUUGAGUUCGGGAGAGGUGAGUGGAACUGCGAGUGUAGAGGUGAAAUUCGUAGAUAUUCGCAAGAACACCAGUGGCGAAGGCGGCUCACUGGCCCGAUACUGACGCUGAGGCACGAAAGCGUGGGAG